rnacentral:tRNA from 1 species
GGGGAUUUAGCUCAGCAGUAGAGCACUUGCCUAGCAAGCGCGAGGCCCUGGGUUCAGUCCCCAGCUCCG